GAGGAGGAUGUAAUCAAAGGGGGGAGAACGAUUGAACAAAAGAGGGAUAAAAAAAAAACCUGUUUGUCUGACGAGGAGUUAAAUCACUGACAUGUCAGCGACCUGAACGACGCCACAAGACGAGAGAGAGCGAGAACUCAGACCGUUCCAGAAACAAGAAAGUUCCUGAACCCCGGAGACGACCUUCAACGACAGCAAUAGGACGAUAAGAUAUCGAUAUAAAACAUGAUCAAUAUGCUUUUCAAUAGUCGUCAUUCUGACAUGUUUUGGUCGACUAUACGAACAGCCAAUGAAAAGGGGAGUUUCUCCGGGUCUGAACCAAUCAUGUUCUGAAUUAGAACCAAGUAUCAACCAACUGCAGCAAAGUCGUAGCAGACAGCAGCUCCACCCAACCAUAGCACUUUAACAGGUGAAGCCGACAGCACUGUUGGUGAGAAACAAAGAAAAUGAGUGCUACCCCCGACAGAAAUGACCAUGAAGGCUCAACAGAUGACCACAUCAAUGUCAACCACAACACUGGCGUUAGGAAAACGUCGGUGGUGUGGAGGUAUUUUGGUUUUUGGAGGUCGGACAUGAAGCAGAGUAAUGUGGACUGUAAAUUAUGUCGAGUACAUGUUCUCACAAAGUCGGGGAAUACCUCAAAUCUUUUUCACCACCUGAAGCAGCGCCACGCCGCAGAGCACGCGCAACGCCAAAGGUUACAAACCCCGAGAGGAGCGAGGAGCCGAAACAGACGACCAUUCAGUCGGCUUUCUCUAGAGCGACGCCUUACGACAAAACGCCAAAGAGACACAAAGACCUCACAGAUGCAGGAGAUUAUUGUGUUGGAAAAGACAUGAGACCAAGAAACACUGUUAGAUUUUUAGAUCCUGAUAUUGAUCCAUAUCAGCUGAUAGGAAAAUUAUAUAUCAUGAUA